rnacentral:lncRNA from 1 species
GGCUGUAUGAGGGUAACGAUGUCGCUGAAGAUAAAGACAUGGAGACAUCACAGUCUGACUGCUUAGCUGCUGUGACAUUUCAUACCGCUGAUCCCAAGAUGUCAAAGCAUCCUGACGUGUUCACAUGUGAAAUGACUAAUGUUCACAACGGAAAGGUGGAGCAGUUUACUUUCAGCCGUCAGUCCUCACGAGAGAAAACAGGUGAUGAAAAAACAACCACAACUACAUCGUCCCCAGUGACAAAUAAAUCGCCAUCAACAACAGGAAAUGAGUGGACGUCGGUGAAAACGAGCACAUCAUUCGAGACGAACUCAGCAGCAUCUGCAAACAACAGCGAUGGAACGCAACAGGAAGGUUGGUGGUGGUUCAUCGUUGUGUCUGCGGGUUUAGCAUGCUUCUUAAUAAUCCUUGUGGCCGUCAUCAGACGGUUGAGAGCUGAAGGGAACAAACUGCCGACUAAUGAACACAUGGCUGAAGAUGGUGCUUUGUAUGUCAACUUACGCUACACCAGGAACACCAACCAGCGACAGUUUCAGGGUUAUGACUGCGAUGAAGGCGACGUAGCCACCUACAGCACAAUGAGACCAUACUCCUCAUUUCGCACAGCCUCCACCGUUCCCCAUGACUCCUACGCUACGGUCAACAAACCAAGAAAAAAGAAGUCAGCUAAGAAAUGCAACAUCUGACAUGGCCGAUUUGGUCAUGUUUUCUCUUUCCUUGGCUUAACUGUGGCAAAGUGAGAAUAACAGCUGCAUGACAAUCGGCCGAGAGGAAAAGCAAUCAAUUCAGCCUUCGUGCCAAAAGCUUACCCAAGAUUAUUUUACUGCAAAUUAAAGCUGCAAACAGGAACCAAUAACUGAUAAACCACCGACACACCACCAUGUCCUAUCACAUGCCAGUCGGUCGGUCCCGUUUUGACUUGACACGUACAACUUUUUGUCAGUACUUUGGUUUUGGCAGACGAUUUCACAUGUAAAACAACUUCCAUACCGUUUCUCUUGUUUGCUUCACUGCUGUAAGUAGAUUUUUGCUUCACAUCGCAGCCGCUCGUUUGAGUUUAAAAAGGAACACGUCAUCCAAAAAAGAUUCCAAUUCAAUCGUUACGAUGUAAAGUUAGUUGAAGUUUUGUAGUCCACCAAACAUUUCUGGAGCUUCACAGCCACACAGCAUUCUCCCAAACAACUAAAGCAGAUGGGGACUUUUAUUAAAACAGAGAAAAAUUCAAUGAAAUGGCUCCACACAGCUAUUUUUGACACCAUCUACGUGCGGUCGAGCACCCAGAUGGGGUGCACGCUAAUGUUUUUAGCGUAGCAGAUACAGUAAAGUUUUCAUCUUAAAAGGUACAAAUGUCUUCAGAAGUCGAUUUGGGAUCUCCGGGCCUCCAGACACUAGGAUUACACCAGAUUAUGUCUUUUUCACAUUUUGAAACAAGUCCCCGUCUUCUUGAGUUGUCCAGAAAGAUGCUGAAAUGCUGAUUUGCUGUGAAGCUCCAGAAAUGUUUGGUGGACUACGAAACUUCACCUGACUUUCCAUCUACAUGGGGAUGAGUACAUGAUGACUGAACUUCUCAUUUUUUGUGAACUGUUCCUUUAAGAUUCACAGGUUUUAUUCAAGGUGCAGAUAUUUUUUGCUUUUGUUCCUCGUUUGUACAGAAGCAUAUGAUUUUGAUUUUAUGUCAAUGUAAGCAUCGUGGACUUUAAGCUUUAAUUAACAAUCUUUUCUUACUCAUGUCUGGUAACAUAGUAUGCAAAUUAAAAAAAGACGUUUAUUCAACUUUCAAGGUGUUUCUGGUGUUUGGUUUUGCGGUUCUGUCUCUCUUUCUCAAGGACACGCUGUUACGUGGCGGCAAUGCAGGUGAACCAGGGUGCGGACGCAGACAGGGUGGUAACAGAUGAUCGUGUAAAAGUCUGUGUGAGUGAAGAGCUGGUAGCUAGGGGGCAGAUCUAGGCUGGUCCAGAGGGGGCAGACGAGCAGGGUGACUCCUCACCUGUCAGCAUGAAUCUUGUCGGUAUCCUAUGAGGGGCACGUUCUUUUUCCAAGAAAGCGCAAACAUUUAUUUGAC